GCCCGGGUGGCGGAAUUGGUAGACGCACUAGAUUCAGGUUCUAGCAAGCUAACGCUUGUGGAGGUUCAAGUCCUCUCUCGGGCA
rnacentral:tRNA from 1 species